rnacentral:tRNA from 1 species
GGGCUAUAGCUCAGCUGGGAGAGCGCCUGCCUUGCACGCAGGAGGUCAGCGGUUCGAUCCCGCUUAGCUCCAC